rnacentral:rRNA from 2 species
UGGGGAAUAUUGCACAAUGGGGGAAACCCUGAUGCAGCGACGCCGCGUGAGUGAAGAAGUAUUUCGGUACGUAAAGCUCUAUCAGCAGGGAAGAAAAUGACGGUACCUGACUAAGAAGCCCCGGCUAACUACGUGCCAGCAGCCGCGGUAAUACGUAGGGGGCAAGCGUUAUCCGGAUUUACUGGGUGUAAAGGGAGCGUAGACGGCUUUGCAAGUCUGAAGUGAAAGCCCGGGGCUCAACCCCGGGACUGCUUUGGAAACUGUAGAGCUAGAGUGCAGGAGAGGUAAGUGGAAUUCCUAGUGUAGCGGUGAAAUGCGUAGAUAUUAGGAGGAACACCAGUGGCGAAGGCGUCUUACUGGACUGUAACUGACGUUGAGGCUCGAAAGCGUGGGGAGCAAACAGG